GGCGGAUGUAGCCAAGUGGAUUAAGGCAGUGGAUUGUGAA
rnacentral:tRNA from 1 species